AUAAUCUCAAAUUUGACAGCAGAUUACGUAUGUAUACGUCUUUUGGUAUGACAUAAUAUAGCCUUCUUCAUUUAUCAGCUGUGGGUAUAAAGUAUAAUAAAUAAUAACCUCCAGCAAUAGUUACUAUUCGAAAGGUAGGAUUUGAUCUUCAAAGACUUACUCAAUAAACUUAACUUGUACAGUUUAUUGUAUAUAAAGUUAAUGGAUUCAAACAAGCGAAGUUUCGAUAUUACCAGAAAAUGUUCAUCUAUAUUCUUGGCACCUCCAAAGAAAGCUGAAAAGUAAAAAUUUCAAUUGAUUGAGUUCCAUAUUAUUGUUAAAUAUGAGUUGAAAACCCAAUACUCAUAGAUGGAUUAAGCUUACAUAUAUUUUUAUAUAGUGAUUUUACUUCAUUUGAUUUAACAUUUUCCUCAAUUAGCCACCUUCAUAAUGUUUCACUGGAUACAAUUUUUCAUAUGGAAUUGUUUGGUAUGUAAAUUAAUUCUAGCUAGGUAUAUUAGAUGCACAAUAGAUCUUUAUGUCAAGGUGCAUGCUUGAUCGGAUAAUCUUUCGCUCCUCCUCUAAUCUAGGGAAAUUAGAAGUUUCGAAAUAGUAUAUUAUUUCAUAAGGAGGAGAAGCGUCAUCUAAGAUGGUAAGACUGUCUUAAAGCCGUGAAAAGUCACUU